GGUCAGGUGGCCGAGCGGUUAUGGCGCUAGCUUCAGGUGCUAGUAUCGAAAGAUGCGUGGGGUAAGGAUUUCUAGACAUGCGUUCUUGGUGCAUUCCUAACAAAGAUAGUUCGAAUCCCACCCUGAUCA